GAUGAACGCUGGCGGCGUGCUUAACACAUGCAAGUCGAACGAUGAAGCCCAGCUUGCUGGGUGGUUUAGUGGCGAACGGGUGAGUAACACGUGAGUAACCUGCCCUUAACUCUGGGUUAAGCCUGGGAAACUGGGUCUAAUACCCGAUAGGAGCGCCUACCGCAUGGUGGGUGUUUGAAAGCUUUGUCGGUUUUGGAUGGACUCGCGGCCUAUCAGCUUGUUGGUGUGGUAAUGGCUCACCAAGGCCACGACGGGUAGCCGGCAUGAGAGGGUGACCGGCGACACUGGGACUGAGAGACGGCGCAGACUGGUACGGGAGGCAGCAGGGGGGAAUAUGGCACAAUGGGCGCAAGCCUGAUGAAGCGAAGCCGCGAGAGGGAUGACGGCCUUCGGGUUGGAAACGUCUGUCAGUAGGGAAGAAGCGAAAGUGACGGUACCUGCAGAAGAAGCACCGGCUAACUACGUG
rnacentral:rRNA from 1 species